CCCCACCAGUCUCCCACUGGGUUGGGACUCCCUUGAUAAUAAGAAUGUUUGUUCUCAUUUGCAUCCCUAGAACAAAUUGAAUCAUAAGAAACUACCAUUUUUUUGUUGUUGUUGGCCAAACACGCAGUUUAAUUCAGGGGGAAAAAAUCAGGCUGAGCAGAGCUUUGUAACUGGAGGGGGAACCCUGGAGGCUGAAGAAGCACAAAAAUGCAGCUUUACAUCUGUGCCUCCAAAGAUGUUUCUGCUGGAUGGCGCUGCAUAUGCACGAUCGCCUUUAACCUGUGGACGGUCUCAGCAAGCAGGUCUGUGGGCAACAUCCUCUCCUCUCGGAAGACGCCCCCACACUCCACUUAGGUGGGAGGGAGAGGUAAAGCGGCUCCUAUCUACACGCUUUCAACACAAAGAUCCGAAGAAGUAUUCUGAACCAGAACCUGGAGGUCUGCGAUGAUAACAGCGUCUCCUGUGCCAAACCCUCCUGCUUCCGUAUCUGGGGAGGGACAUUUGGAGGCAAGACAGCUUGGCUUUGCGCUCAGCCCAAUUGACUUAGAUGCCAAGCACACAUCUGUUAGAUUUUUGCCGUUUAUGCAGACAAUUUCAGAAACCGCACUCUGUGAUUUAGGAAGUGAUGACAAUUCAUCCAGGAGCUGCAGAAUCCAGGAGACUGGUGGACUCCGGUGGAGGGGCUGGGGCCCGGGGCACAGAUCUGGUCCGUUCAGUUUCGUUCACUGCAUUUCUUCUAAGUGUGCAAGCGGGGAAUCACUGUCCGUCUCUGCCUGGGCAGUCCAUUCCGAUGCAGAUUAAUCUAGAAGGCAGCUUCUCGCAAGUAAGAUCACCCACUGUUUGACCUGGGUGGUGGACCAGGGUGGGUGGACCAGCCCCACCCCCAAGAAGCCUUCCUGCCCAAGUGCUCCAGGCUGCCCAGCACAGUGGCUCCGGCUUCCCUGGACCCAAGGCUGGAACAGGCGAUCCAGGGGAGAUGGGGCCUCCUCCCCCAUGGGGAAAGAAGAAUCUGGACUGGGCAGCACAAGAAGUGGAAUGCUAAGGCAGAUUACUAACUCCAUGGCCUCAGAACCAGAGGUGUGCACGCUUCGACCCUGAUUAGUUAAUUGUCUCUUGGCUGGAAAAAGUGCUUUCUCUCUACUGAGAGCUCACAAAUUGCAAACCUGGAACCUCCAGGUGGGCCUUCCCGCUCCCUCUGCAAUCCCACCAAAGAGAUUCUGAUUGGCCCAGCUUGGGUCAGGUGCCUGCCUCUGGACCAAUCAAUCAAAUGUGUCCAGUCAGGUACUUGCCUCAGAAAUAGGGCUGCAUUGGACCUGGCUGGGCCUCCAGCCCCGAGGGCAUGCCCCGGACAGGCCACACCUGUGACACUAGGGUCUGCUGUGUGGUGCCCUAAGCCUACACUGGAACCUUCCAGAUCUCAGAUAUCCUGUCCUGUUAGUCCCAGGCCCUUGCAAAGACUCUGAAAUUCUAUUUUCUUCACACCUGGAGAAUAGGCUGGUAAUACCACUGCUUGCCAUUUUAAGCACCUGCCUUUUGCAGCCCUGGGAAGCAGAUGCCCUCAUUAUAGAUGCAUAUUCUGAAAAGUAAGACUGUGAUGUGGUGAGGUGGAGAGACUCGCCCAGCGUCACAAGUCAUUUCAGAAACGCCCCCAGGGUCCGAGCACUGGAAGGAGAUGCUCCGGUGCUAACUCCUACCGGGGGGCAGGGCCAGGUCUGCUGCGUCCCCCUUCCUGCCCCCUGUGUGUGGCAUAGCGCUUGCCACGUAGGAGGUGCUCAACAGAUCUCUGAUGAGUGAAUUAAUGUGUCAAUAUUUUCUAGGUAAUCUGUGGGGGGCAGGGAUGAGCCACAAUUUUAAGAAUUGCUAUUUUUGAGUAUCCCCUUUGCCUUUUUUUCCCAUGCUUCCCCCAAGCCUCCUCAGCUCUAUCAGUGGCAACCCAGCCCAUCCAGUGUUUCUUGCAAAAAAAAAAAAAAAAAAAA